AUUUCACAGCCCGAACAUGUUUAUGCAGUAGCCAUGACAGCAGUUCGAAAAAUAAAAUCGCGGCCUGUUUGCAUCAUUGAAAUAAAGUUGUUUUUCGUUUAAUUCUAUCUCUAAGCUCUAGAAAAAAAUCCAACACACGGACGAGGAGUUCAUCAAAUUGACCAUGAAAGUGACCGUCUUUAUUCUUUACCGCCGAUUACAGGCAACAUUCUCGGGAACGUAUACUGCAGUCGGCUCCGAAAGUCCCCAAAAUUGGUUUCUGGCACUGAUUGAUGUUCAAUAAUAUCUACCCAUUUCAUCCGAUAAAAAUACUCAAGAACUUGAUGUAGAUAAUAAAAAUUAUGAUGGUGCAAUGAUA